rnacentral:lncRNA from 1 species
AUGCAAGCAGCAGCAGGAGGAGGAAGAGGAGCCGAGCGCCAAGAACCAGGAGCAGCCCAGCCCAGCCUGCUGCCCGCAGGGCGACACAGACCACAGCCACAGCCCCGGGGGCACCUGCCCCCUGGCCCCAGGCCUGGCCCGGCUGGGAGCCCAGGGGGGAGGCCCGGUGGCACCGGAGGGCAAGCUGUCAGACGCAGCCGGGGCCACGAGCCAGGCCACGACCAGGCAGGACCAGGCCACGGAGCCACCGGGCUCACCCGCCCUUGUGACGGGCUCCACAGGCCAGAAGGUGCCGACGGCCGAGUAGGUGCUGAAUGGGGCGGGAUGGCCCCGGUGGUGCUUUCCCGAGCUCUUGUCGCCACCUGCAUGGCCAUGACCUUCACCUGCUGCUGGGCCACGGGGCAGCUGCACGGAUGCCCCCCGCAGCCCUCCCCUCCACGCUGGGGGCUGCUGCCCCGCUCCCAGCACCUGGGCCGGGCGGGGGGCACUGGCUAGGCCGGGCUGGAGCCCAUGGG